AUUUGCAGGUACUUAAAGAUCUUAAAGGCAUCAGAUCCCAUCUGAUCCUGAAAGCUAAGCAGAGUCAACCCUGGUUAGUACUUGGAUAGGAGACUGCAAAUGAAUACCAGGGGCUGUAGCUG
rnacentral:rRNA from 1 species